rnacentral:rRNA from 1 species
GACGAACGCUGGCGGCGUGCUUAACACAUGCAAGUCGAACGGGUCUGCCCUGUUUUUUGCGGGGUGGGUCAGUGGCGAACGGGUGAGUAACACGUGAGUAACCUGCCCCUCACUUCUGGAUAACCGCUUGAAAGGGUGGCUAAUACGGGGUGUUCUGGCUGUGCCGCAUGGUGUGGCUGGGAAAGAUUCACUUUUGUGGUGUUUUGGUGGGGGAUGGGCUCGCGGCCUAUCAGCUUGUUGGUGGGGUGAUGGCCUGCCAAGGCUUUGACGGGUAGCCGGCAUGGGAGGGUGGGAGGUCAGACUGGGGCUGAGAUACGGCCAAGACUGCUGCGGGAGGCAGCCGUGAGGGGUAUUGCACACUGGGCGGAAGCAUGAUGCAGCGACGUCGCGUGAGGGAUGGAGGCCUUCGGGUUGUGAACCUCUUUCGCCGGUGAAGAAGGUCCUGCUCUUUGUGGUGGGGUUGACGGUAGCCGGGUUAUGAAGCGCCGGCUAACUACGUG